UAGAAUUGACGGGGAGCACCACAACGGGUGGAGCUUGCGGUUUAAUUGGAUUCAACGCCGGAAAUCUUACCGGGACCGACAGCAAUAUGAAGGCCAGGCUGAAGACUUUGCCGGAUUAGCUGAGAGGUGGUGCAUGGCCGUCGUCAGUUCGUACUGUGAAGCAUCCUGUUAAGUCAGGCAACGAGCGAGACCCACGCCAACAGUUGCCAGCUCGUCCUCCGGGAUGGUGGGGACACUGUUGGGACCGCCUCUGCUAAAGAGGAGGAAGGAAUGGGCAACGGUAGGUCAGCAUGCCCCGAAUUAUCUGGGCUACACGCGGGCUACAAUGGGUGGGACAAUGGGUAUCGACACCGAAAGGUGAAGGCAAUCUCCUAAACCCAUCCGUAGUUCGGAUUGUGGGCUGCAACUCGCCCACAUGAAGCUGGAAUCUGUAGUAAUCGUGUCUCAAAAUGGCACGGUGAAUAUGUCCCUGCUCCUU
rnacentral:rRNA from 1 species